CCCAAAGUCGAGAAAAAAAAAACUAGUUAAAAAAUGGCUUCAUACAAAUGUUUCGUUUAUGUGUUGUUGUGCCUAACUGUUACCUUGAUCUCUUGUGCUGCCGAUACUUGCGAUUCACCCAGACAUGGUCUUUUUGUGAUAGGUCCUUGCUCACAAAUUCCAAACUGCAAUAAUAAAUGCGUAGAAUUACACUAUUCUGGCGGAGAAUGUUUUAAAAAGUCCAGCAGCGCCACCGAACUAUCAUGUGGCUGUUGUGUAUAAUUCAUAAUGUUAUGGAGAUAUUAAUUAUAUUGUGGAA